rnacentral:rRNA from 1 species
AGUGAACGCUGGCGGUAGGCCUAACACAUGCAAGUCGAACGGCAGCACAGUAAGAGCUUGCUCUUACGGGUGGCGAGUGGCGGACGAGUGAGGAAUACAUCGGAAUCUACUUUUUCGUGGGGGAUAACGUAGGGAAACUUACGCUAAUACCGCAUACGACCUACGGGUGAAAGCAGGGGAUCUUCGGACCUUGCGCGAUUGAAUGAGCCGAUGUCGGAUUAGCUAGCUGGCGGGGUAAAGGCCCACCAAGGCGACGAUCCGUAGCUGGUCUGAGAGGAUGAUCAGCCACACUGGAACUGAGACACGGUCCAGACUCCUACGGGAGGCAGCAGUGGGGAAUAUUGGACAAUGGUCGCAAGCCUGAUCCAGCCAUACCGCGUGGAUGAAGAAGGCCUUCGGGUUGUAAAGCCCUUUUGUUGGGAAAGAAAAGCAGCAGGUUAAUACCCCGCUGUUCUGACGGUACCCAAAGAAUAAGCACCGGCUAACUUCGUG